AAAAUAUUGAAUAAUUUCAGACAUUGAGAUAUGUUUUCAGUUUGAGACAAAUAUUGACAAACAAAUUCGUCCACAUGAAAUUAUAAUUUGUCUAUCCCUUGUAAAAAGCAUAGUUCAGUUCAUUUAGCAGACAACUUUAAUAUUUUUUAUUUUUGACUAUUCCAAUCGUUUUGGAAUCGUUUGAGCAAAUUUAGAAAUUGCUCUCAUAAUUUGGGAAAUAAUAGUUUACUCAAAAUUAAUAAAUAAAAAUUGAGCGUUGAGUUAGCAGACAUAAUGUUAAAAAUCAUUUUCUUGUACGUCAAUCGACUCGAAAUUAUUUGGGAAACACGCCGGUAAAAUUUCAGAGUUUGGGAAAUAAUAAUUUCGUCGUAAUUAAUAAAAUAAAGUUAGCAUUUAAAAAUUCCCUAAGAAGUUCCGCGGAUGUUCAGUUAGCAGACAUAACGUCAAAAAUCAUUUUUUCUUACAUCAAUCGAUUCGAAAUCAUUUGGGAAACACGUCCGUAAAAUUUCAGAGUUUAGGAAAUAAUAAUUUCGUUGUAAUAACGAAAUAAAGUUAGUAUCUGAAAAUUAAUAAUGAUGUCAAAUAUUAUUUUUUCUUGCGUAAAUCGAUUCGAAAUUAUUUUCGAAAUAAUAAUUUCGUUGUAAUAAUAAAAUAAAGUUACUGAACGCAUCUAUUCACAGUCUUACGGGCAAUGUUGGUAUAACGUUUGUAUUCGGUGUCAUCUGCCAUUCGGUGCGUGGUUCGUUUAUCGCUAUUUUAUCAGCAUUGCCAAAAAAGUCUUCCUUUAUCAUAUGGCAUUUAAAAAAUUGGACGAAAGAAAAUGUGAGAGACCAAAAUGAAUGCAGAGAGACUGCCACCAUUGGAAUCUUUGACUACUGUGGAGGAAACAGUGAUCCGACAGAGCUGUGGAGAGAGAGAGAGAGAGAGA